GUGCCAGCCGCCGCGUAAUUCCAGCUCCAAUAGCGUAUAUUAAAGUUGUUGUGGUUAAAAAGCUCGUAGUUGAACCUUGGGCCUGGCUGGCCGGUCCGCCUCACCGCGUGCACUGGUCCGGCCGGGCCUUUCCCUCUGUGGAACCCCAUACCCUUCACUGGGCGUGGCGGGGAAACAGGACAUUUACUUUGAAAAAAUUAGAGUGCUCCAGGCAGGCCUAUGCUCGAAUACAUUAGCAUGGAAUAAUAAAAUAGGACGCGCGGUUCUAUUUUGUUGGUUUAUAGGACCGCCGUAAUGAUUAAUAGGGACAGUCGGGGGCAUCAGUAUUCAACUGUCAGAGGUGAAAUUCUUGGAUCAGUUGAAGACUAACUACUGCGAAAGCAUUUGCCAAGGAUGUUUUCAUUAAUCAGGAACGAAAGUUAGGGGAUCGAAGACGAUCAGAUACCGUCGUAGUCUUAACCAUAAACUAUGCCGACUAGGGAUCGGACGGUGUUAUUCAUGACCCGUUCGGCACCUUACGAGAAAUCAAAGUGCUUGGGCUCCAGGGGGAGUAUGGUCGCAAGGCUGAAACUUAAAGAAAUUGACGGAAGGGCACCACCAGGGGUGGAGCCUGCGGCUUAAUUUGACUCAACACGGGGAAACUCACCAGGUCCAGACACAAUAAGGAUUGACAGAUUGAGAGCUCUUUCUUGAUUUUGUGGGUGGUGGUGCAUGGCCGUUCUUAGUUGGUGGGGUGACUUGUCUGCUUAAUUGCGAUAACGAACGAGACCUUAACCUGCUAAAUAGCCCGCAUUGCUCCGGCAGUGCGCUGGCUUCUUAGAGGGACUUUCGGGCUCAA
rnacentral:rRNA from 1 species